UCCAGACUCCUACGGGAGGCAGCAGUGGGGAAUAUUGCACAAUGGGGGAAACCCUGAUGCAGCGACGCCGCGUGAGUGAAGAAGUAUUUCGGUAUGUAAAGCCCUAUCGGCAGGGAAGAAGGAGGACGGUACCUGACUAAGAAGCCCCGGCUAACUACGUGCCAGCAGCCGCGGUAAUACGUAGGGGGCAAGCGUUAUCCGGAUUUACUGGGGGUAAAGGGGGCGCAGGCGGCAGCGCAAGCCAGGAGUGAAAGCCCGGGGCCCAACCCCGGGACUGCUCUGGAAACUGGGUCGCUGGAGUACGGGGGGGGCAGGCGGAAUUCCUGGUGUAGCGGUGAAAUGCGUAGAUAUCAGGAGGAACACCGGCGGCGAAGGCGGCCUGCUGGACCGUGACUGACGUUGAGGCUCGAGAGCGUGGGGAGCAAACAGGAUUAGAUACCCCAGUAAC
rnacentral:rRNA from 1 species